rnacentral:lncRNA from 1 species
GGCCAUGUGUAAUAGUGCAGGUGUCCUGCACCAUUGCGCAUGACGUCUUGCCCAACACCGCCCUACACUGGUCCGCCUUGUCAACUUUCGCUUCUGGCAAAAAUUGAUUCGGCGUUCUUCCCCGGCUGGAGCAUGCCAUCUGCUGUGCAGUACCUCUCCUCUGCAAACUGUUCAUGUAACCAGGGCCACGUGCUGCUAACCAGAGGCCAUGGACAGGGA